rnacentral:rRNA from 1 species
GGCCUACGGGGGGCAGCAGUAGGGAAUAUUGCUCAAUGGGGGAAACCCUGAAGCAGCAACGCCGCGUGGAGGAUGAAGGUUUUCGGAUUGUAAACUCCUUUUGUUAGAGAAGAUAAUGACGGUAUCUAACGAAUAAGCACCGGCUAACUCCGUGCCAGCAGCCGCGGUAAUACGGAGGGUGCAAGCGUUACUCGGAAUCACUGGGCGUAAAGGGAGCGUAGGCGGGAUAGUAAGUUGAUUGUUAAAACUAUCGGCUCAACUGGUAGAUGCGAUCAAAACUGCAAUUCUUGAGUGAAGGAGAGGCA